GAUGCACAGACCUUGCCCUGGCUGUCUGCACAGGGCUGAAUUUCACCCCUUCCGAGUGUAUUAUAUGGGCAUUCUUGGGGGCGCAGAUUGCAUCAGACCUGCACCUGAAUAAAUAAUAGGGACUGAAAUAUGCAGACACUGAAGUUUUGCAGCCAAAUUCUCAGGAACCUUCCUCUUCAAUAUAGGAUCAGGAUUUUGUUUUGAAUUGUUUUAUUUUUUUUAAAAGUGCUAAGCAGAUGCUACCCUGUAAGAAGAGGAAACAGAAGGGAAAAGUGAAAGACUGUUACUAAAACCAAUGAACAGCUGCAGAGAGUGGAGACCCGGCAAAGCAGACAAAUGAAUACUGUUAGAGCUCGCCCUCCAUUGCGGAGGUGAAGACCGGAUGGGAGCUGCUGGAUUGACCUUGAU